AGUUCAGGCAGAGAGAGGGCAGUCUCAGGCUGCUCUGUGGAUGUAGGCAAGAAGGUUGAAUGUAAUACAUUGGCCCCACCUCCUGAGCCCCUCUCUGAAGCUGCUGCAUUGGACAGGAAAGAAAGGGUGAGAUAACAGAGACAUGGAGACAUCGUCUCUGCUCUCAGGAAUUUCUGGUUCCAGUAGCUGAGAGGUGAGACAAAAGCCUGGACAAGGUGCUCCACACGUCUGCGUUUUUUCAGGCGCUGUGAGCCAAGCGAAGGCUCUUUCUGGGAGGAGCAGGCAAUAGAAGAGGCACCAUGGCACAGGUGGACUCCCAGGAUAGGUGGACCAAGGUGCCCCUUGGCAGCACUCAGAUGCUGAGAAUGAGCUUGGAGAGUGAAGAAGAGGAUGGUAGGAAGGGUGGCUCCCCAGGAACUCAGAACAACACCGACUCGCAGUUUGACACUCAGUCCUGCAAAGAGGAAGAGAACUGGCCUGAGUGCUUCAGUGCUGGGUGUGUGGCGCAGAAACCUGGGGAGAUGCCUGGGAAGACCAGCAACGGGGGGAAAAAGGCAUCGAGGAUCACCCAGAUUCGAGACUCCCCCAAAUUACAGGAGGCUCUUGGUGCCCCUUCCAGAAGUUUAUUACACAAAGUUCAGAUACAGCCCCUUAGGGACUCCGUGGGCAGUGACGGAGGCAAGAAGGCAAAUAAGGACCCAGCCUCAGAAGUCCCGAACAGCUUCUUGGACAGUGGAGGGUAUUUUGAGGCACAGAACAGUGUUGAGGCAUCUUCCCUAGACAAGAACUCUCUGGAGCACUUUCCCAGGUCUGAGAGUACACUAGUUCAGACUCCAACCAUUCCUGCCAGCCUGUUAGUAAAAGUACGGAGCAGUAGAAAAGUCCAGGGCCAGGCGGGCCCAGAAGGCAGCGGGCAGGAAGAGGAGGGUCUCGAUAGGUGUGUGCGGGCCUUCCAGAAGUCCACCAAAGUUCAGGUCCCCGCGGAACAUCAUGGCUCCAAGCCCUACGUGUGCCAACUGUGUGGGAAGGCCUACUCCCAUCGCAGCACGCUGCAGCAGCACCGGCGCCUACACACAGGCGAGCGGCCAUACCGGUGUCCCUUCUGCGACAAGGCGUACACCUGGUCCUCCGAUCACCGCAAGCAUAUCCGCACUCACACGGGCGAGAAACCCUAUGGGUGCCCGGACUGCGGCAGGGCUUUUGUGCGCUCCUCCGAUCUGCGCAAACACCAGCGCAACAUGCACAGCAAUGACAAGCCCUUCCCGUGUGCCCAGUGCGGCUUGACCUUCAACAGGCCACUGUCACUGCUGCGCCACCAGCGCACACACCUGGGCGCCAAGCCCUUCCGCUGCUCCUCCUGCGGCCGCGAGUUCUCCGUGGCCAGCCGCAUGGUGGAGCAUCAGCGCGUGCACUCGGGCGAGCGGCCCUUCCCCUGCUCCACCUGCGGCAAGUGCUUCACCAAAUCCUCUAACCUGCAGGAGCACCAGACGCUGCACACCGGCCAGAGGCCCUUCAAAUGCACCGACUGCGGUGUAACCUUCGCGCAGCCCUCGCGUCUGCUGCGCCACCAGCGCAUCCACACUGGCGAGAGGCCAUUUCCUUGUGCUGAAUGCGGCCAGGCCUUCGCCCGUUCCUCCACCCUCAAGCGACACCAGCAGAUCCAUUCAGGGGACAAGGACUUCCUCUGUGCAGAGUGUGGCAGGGCUUUCCGCAUCGCGUCCGAGUUGGCGCAGCACAUCCGCAUGCACAAUGGGGAGAGACCUUACCAGUGUGAGGGCUGCGGCCAGACCUUCACCCGCUCCAGCCACCUCCAAAGGCAUCAAGCCAAGCAUGACACCUGCAAGAAGGAGCCUGUCCCUUCCUCUUCUGAUGAAUGAGAGUACAGUGGACUUUCAGCCAAGGGAAGGGAAGAAACCCUCGGCUUCACAUCCUCUUCUACUCUCAAAGUUAUAUUGGCAGCCAGGAUCACUGGUUACGCCCUCUACUCCCUGGAUUUUGGCUAUGGAUGGUCCCUGUACUUCAUGUAUUCUGUGUGUUGUGAGAAUAUGUAUUCUCCAGAAUAGUGUCCAAGUGUGCAGUUUCACACCAGUCUCCCGCUGUUUAGAGGCCAGGGUAAGAUAAAGAAUAGGGGCUGGCCAAUAGUCGGAUUCCUUAGGUAAGUAGAUUCCAGUCAAGGAGAAGGUAGAGAAUUCUGUGCUAGCACCGUGCAGGAUUCCAUGGGUACACAGACGAAAAUGGUCUAUUUUCUUCUUUCCUUAGUAAUAAUAGUCAGAUUUCUUAGGUAAGUAGAUUCUAGUCACGGAGAAGGUAGAGAAUUCUGUGUUAGCACUGUGCAGGAUUCCAUGGGUACAUAGACGAAAAAGGUCUAUUUUCUUCUUUCCUCAAAGCCGUAUUAAGUACUGAAAAAGCCAUCUUUAGAGAAAAAUUCGUUUUUGAUUUUUAUAUAAAGAAUCCUCAGAAUGGUCCCUGUGAUGGACUUUUCCACAGAACAAAGCCAACCUGGGGGUACCACAAACCAAGAGAGACAUUCUAACUUGUCACUUGACUGCUAAAACAACUUUAACCUUGAGGGAAUGUCUCUGUGGGUUGCCUUUGAAGUACAGACCUCAGAAAUGGGGGGGGGGGUUGUGCUGCAUCUGGGAAGCAGUGGUUUCAGAAGUUCAGAACAGCCUCGGCAUCCAGACAAGAGACUCCAUCCUCUUACCAGAGGAUGUGGUAACUGGACCUCACCUGGGUUUCACCCAUGAAGUUCACAGGUGUCUCCUCUCUGCCACUGCUUCUCCUGUUCACAGGAUUUGAAAUUAAGCCACGCGUGUUAUUUGUAGAAAAACAGUGAAUCGCUUCAGAUGAGCCGCAGCACGGUUCGUUUAAAUCUGCCUGGAUCACAGCCCGGAUUUGGAGGACAUAAACUAAGGCACCCUUUUGUCCAGGAGAGUUUUGCCUGCAUGGCGAAGGUGCUAAAAAUCUAUGAGCUCUUGAUGCUGAGAGAAGGGCUGUAUCAGUUAUACCACAGUCCUGUUGAAGAUGCCCAGCGUGGUCCAGUGAUGAGCCCAGCUUUCAGGCAGAGUCAAACACCACAAAGGAUACGAACAACUGUAUGCCAUCCGUCAUUGUGUAAACAUCCUUCAAAUAUGGCAGGGUCAUGAGCAUCUCAGAAAUAGAAAGAGCUUAGAGAGACAUGGCCAGGAAGUGCAAUGUGUGUCCUUGAUCAGAAAACAAAGAAACAUGGUAGAAAUGACUUAACUGGGAACAUGGGUGAAUUUUAAUGUUCCUGAAUUUUAUCAUGGUUACAUAAGAGACUUUUUUCCAUUCCUUAUUCCUGGGAGUUACAUUUGGGAACUUUUUAGGACUGAAAGGUAUUUGUAACUUACAAAUUAUUUGAGGAAAAAUUACAUAAGUAAAAGUUUGUAUAAGAGGAGAGGAGAGAAGAAGAUGCCCAAAAGGAGAGAAAGCCCGUGUUGCAAGGUGUUAAUAAAUUGUUGAAUGCAAGUGAGGAUCUGACAGGAGCAAUGUAAUUAUGCCAUUUUAACAAC